rnacentral:rRNA from 1 species
ACUCCUACGGGAGGCAGCAGUGGGGGAUAUUGCACAAUGGAGGAAACUCUGAUGCAGCGACGCCGCGUGAGGGAAGAAGGUCUUCGGAUUGUAAACCUCUGUCUUUGGGGACGAAUCAAUGACGGUACCCAAGGAGGAAGCCACGGCUAACUACGUGCCAGCAGCCGCGGUAAU